rnacentral:rRNA from 1 species
GACGAACGCUGGCGGCGUGCUUAACACAUGCAAGUCGAACGGAAAGGCCCUGCUUUUGCGGGGUGCUCGAUUGGCGAACGGGGGAGUAACACGUGAGUAACCUGCCCUUGACUUUGGGGUAACUUCAGGAAACUGGGGCUAAUAUCGGAUAGGAGAUCCUGCUGCAUGGUGGUGGUUGGAAAGAGUCGGCGGUUGGGGAUGGACUAGCGGGUUAUCAGCUUGUUGGUGGGGUAGUGGCUUACCAAGGGUUUGACGGGUAGCCGGCCUGAGAGGGUGACCGGCCACAAUGGGACUGCGAUACGGCCCAGACUCCUACGGGAGGCAGCAGUGGGGAAUCUUGCACAAUGGGCGGAAGCCUGAUGCAGCAACGCCGCGUGCGGGAUGACGGCUUUCGGGUUGUAAACCGCUUUCGACUGUGACGAAGCGUGAGUGACGGUAAUGAGUAAAGAAGCACCGGCUAACUACGUG